rnacentral:rRNA from 1 species
UACGUAGGGGCCUAGCGUUGUCCGGAUUUAUUGGGCGUAAAGAGCUCGUAGGCGGUUCGGUAAGUCAGGUGUGAAAUCUCCACGCUCAACGUGGAGGCGCCACCUGAAACUGCCGUGACUCGAGUCCGGUAGGGGAGUGUGGAAUUCCCGGUGUAGCGGUGAAAUGCGUAGAUAUCUGGAGGAACACCGGUGGCGAAGGCGGCAUCCUGGACCGACAUUGACGCUGAGGCGCGAAAGCCAGGGGAGCAAACGGG